rnacentral:rRNA from 1 species
UACGGAGGGUGCAAGCGUUAUCCGGAUUCACUGGGUUUAAAGGGUGCGUAGGUGGGCUGGUAAGUCAGUGGUGAAAUCUCCAGGCUUAACUUGGAAACUGCCAUUGAUACUAUUAGUCUUGAAUACCGUGGAGGUCAGCGGAAUAUGUCAUGUAGCGGUGAAAUGCUUAGAUAUGACAUAGAACACCAAUUGCGAAGGCAGCUGGCUACACGGAUAUUGACACUGAUGCACGAAAGCGUGGGGAUCAAACAGG